UUCUUAACAUGACAAUAAAAGCUUUAACUAGGACUUUAGUUAGGACACAAUGCCCUAUAGCGAAAUCAAAUUCAGACGCUCAUUGGGUUGAUCUGUGGACAAAAGAUGUUCUCCCAAGUUGAUCUGGAGUACAAUGUGUCACUAAGUGAAGAUGUGGCCUGCCAAUAGACUCCUGCUAAAGAAAACUGAGGGCGUUCAGUUACGUCUUAGGAUCCAUUCACACCAGCCGUUUGGUUAGUCCGUUUUAGUUUAACUCUAGUUCGUUUGCCAAGAAAGUCUGAUUGGUUUGGGGAUGUGUGAAUGCUCAACCAAACUCUGAUGCUGCCUAAAAAAAUUGAACUCUGUCUUUACAAACCCAGGUCUUGGUUUGGGUUGAACUGAACUCUGGCACGGUUUGAAUACAUAGAUGGAUGAACUGGAGACCGCUCCUAAUGCACAAAGCAGAUUAAACCAGAGGGCAUUCUGGGUAAAUACAACCAAAACAAACACUCUAAUCCAAUGCUAGCAGGAGAAACGUCUCCUGCUAGCAUUGGACUAGAUAUUAGAGCUACAAUCUGACACUACUCCAUUUUUGUUUACCUUUAGCAAAGAAGGAAGUUGGGCUCGUGUCUUUUUCAGAGGUUUUGGUGUAGUUUCCUUCAGUUGUUCUUGGUGCAGCGCCCCUGCAGGCGAGGGGAGGAACAGGCUUUUCAAAGAGUUUGGUUCGUUUGACACAGUGCAGUGUGAAAGAGAAGCACAGCAGCUGGAAAUGUAACAAAUGUUGUGAUUUUGGUCCCAAUUCGAACCAAGUCUACCAGACUGUCAGGUGUGAAAACACCCUUAGUUAAAAUGGGUUAUGCGACCCAGUUACUGCACUUUUAAAUUUUCCAGUCUGACAGUUUUGCUUUUUUUCAGUUGGAUGGAUGUAACAUAUAUCGAUAUCACCGAAUCCUGGCACUUUAACAUCAUUAUGUAGACGUUUUACUCUUUAUUUAACAUUUCCUGUUUCACUAGUCAAAGAUGAACCUUAAAGUCUUUGUCAAAGUGUUAAUUCUACUCAGAGAAGCCUAAAAUGAAGCGUUUCCCCAUGUUUUAAAACAUAUCUUUUUUUACUGAAAUGUGUUGCACGAAUCAUUGAUUUAGCACUUCCUACUCUGUUACCUUUCCUUAAUUGCUGUGACCUUUCACUUGUCAGAAACCACAAUAAAUCAUUUUAUAUCGGCAUAUGAAAUGGGAUAAAGAUGAACGGUCCUGCUGAGUUGCAUGAUUUAGGAAAGAAAAUGUUCCGAUCCACUUCCUGUUCUGGCGCCUUAAGAAUGAAAGUGACAUCAAAUUCGUUAUUGCGACAUUACAAAUGAGAGAUUAGAGGGGAGGAGGAGGGGAAUGAUGCAAUCAGAGUGCAAGUAUCAGGAUAUCAGCCUGCUGGAUCAGACGUACGGGACGAAUCGGCACAGCAGUUUACUUAGUGUUUUGGACCUUUGUGGAGCGUCUAGUGAAGCUAAAUGAAAACAUAUUGAGUCCCGAAGGUUGAAACACAAACCAGCAGGACAUUGCGGAAGAUCUGAUGGAAAACCAAGGACAGCGCCUUGAAAUAUUGAGGUCAUAUGAACUUUUCUCCACUUUUUUUUUUUUUAUGCUAUAACCAGAUUUCGGUCCCAAAUCGAACCGAGUCUGCCAACAACAACCCCAAACUUUAACCGAGAGCAUAUUGGUGUGCUAAGAUGGCCGAGUCCAUCUCCAGGCGUUGAUCCAAUUGAGAAUCUGAGGCAAAACUUGAAGACUGGUUGACGUCCGCCAUCGAAUCAGUAGAAAAGAGACGGAGAAAAUGUCACUGUGUCUGUAAAGCUGUUUGGAGUCAGACGCAGAAUGACUCCAGACGUUUGCUCCACAAACGGUUGAAUAAUGAGGGGCAAAAACAAUUUUACACCAAAAAAAUAAAAAAAUAAAUCUGAAUAUAUAGCUACCCACCAGACUGUUUUGGUCUAUCACAUAUAAAAUCCUAAUGAGGUACAUGGAAGUUUGCGGACGUAGCACAGCAAAAAGCCGAAGGAUGUGAAUACUCUCGCGUGUCGCCACGGCAAAUAAAAACACAGUUUGACAUUUAGAAGUACAGCGCUUAUUGGUUCGUCCAAACAAAAGCAGAAAAAGAGAAAGCUGCAGGAAGCGCUUCGCCUGGGACAAUGGCUGCAGAAUAAAAGCAAAGCUGAAGUACUGGUUUUUACAAAAGGUGUAAAAAUAGCUGCAGAACUAAUGGCUUGAAUCAGAAAAUAAAAGUACUGCACGAGAACAAGCUCUUUCCCUUUGUACUAAAUAAUCUUUGUGAGAUUUACCUUUACAUUUUCGGCACAAAGACAAGUAGAAAGCCAGCAAAGCAUCUCCUGUGACUGUGUCUGUUUUGUUUUGGAGCAGUUUAACUUUCUCUCAGCCCAUAAAUCCACAAUAUUAGGUGCAGUUUUGAGACCAAGAAUUUCCUCCAUUAAAAAAAAAGAAAAAGAAAUACAUGUGUGUAUAUAUAAACAACUAAAACAGCAGCCUGAAGCUGUGUCUGCUGCUUCGCUUGCCUUAACUCUGUCUGACCAGCACCGUUGUCACCAGGACCCAGUGGAGCUGCUUCCUCCACGCCGUACAAACACACAGCCGUGCUCCGGCGGGAAGCGACCGCAUCUAAAGUCAACAUGGCGGCCGCGUUCCCAGGCUUUGGAAAUUAAAAGGCGUAAUUAGGACUGCUGACAUCUGAUGGCCGAGCUGCAGGACGGGAUAUCAAUAUGGCAGCGUGUUUGUCUACAGGCUUCCUUGGAGAGGCGGGGUUCACCCUGGACAGGUCGCCAGUCCGUCACAGGGCAACACAGAGACAGACAGGACAAACAACCAACCACACACACACACACACACACACACCUAGGGAGAAUUGAGAGAGCUCAAUCAACUUGACAGUCAUGGUUUUGGACUGUGGGAGGGAGCCGGAGUACCCGGAGAGAACCCACAGCAUGCACAGGGAGAACAUGCAAACUCCGUGCAGAAAGACCCCGGGCCGGGAAUCGAACGCAGGACCUUGUAUUUUAAAUUUUGUUAUAAAAUGUGGUGAAAUUUAGCUUGUGUCCAGUUUGUGUGCGGUCUGCAGAGAUUUCAGCUACUCUGUUUAAGCGCUGUGUGGAGGGAAGGUCUGCCCUGGCAAUCGUCUCUGCAGGCCUAAUUUGCUCGUUGUUGUUUGGACCCGACAUGUUUUGUGGAACGAGCCAAAGCACACGGCGACGGACGGGAACAGGAGAGACUGAAUAAUUGGCAGCGUAGACGAUGACCAGCUGCUCCUGUGGGACGUUGUACUUCAUAAAGGAUGCGCAGUUCACAAUGUGAGGAUCAUCUCCGUUGGGUUAUAGAUUGGACUUUAUCUAUAGAUAAAGUUUUUAAUAAAUGAAACAUUCGUUUAAAAAUCUA